rnacentral:lncRNA from 9 species
AUGAUGAUGGAAACCAAAUUGAGAUUUCGUCCAUGGGUGCAGUGGGACAGAGAGCCACAUCAGGAUUUAAGAAGGAACCAUCUUGGGUUGGAUAGAUGCCAGAGUGGGUGGAAGACAUACUCAAGGAUCAGGAGAGAUACAUCGUUUCUCGAAGAUGCCAGAAUAGACAGAGGGGCCUCUGGAUCUUACCUACCAUUGGACUUCAUGGGUCUUUCCCAGUUCCUGGAAUUAAACAUAAACUUUUGCUUGUUUGGGCUUUUUUUUUUUUUUUUUUUUUUUUUUUUUUCUAGGAAGGCUGUCUUUGGCUUUCAUGAGAUUCCCAAAGCGGUCUCUGACUUCAGAAAGGUUCAAAACCUUUGUUUACUGGAACCUUCCCUUAUUGUUCCCAUGCUGGCUUGCCCACUCUGGUCAGUAGGAACCUGCUGGUCUCCACCCCUGAUCUUUUCCCACAGCAGUUAACCUUCCUUGCUUCCUGAAAUGCUCUUCCCUCCUGCUGCAGCAGUGUGGUACACCAUGUUUUGUUCUGUUACCACCGCCACCAUUUGUGGUUUACCCUCAUGUCACCUGAAAAUUUAUCUGUUGAGUAUUUCCCUUCGAUGCCCUUCUUUGCUUAAAUCUCUUUUAGAAGGGACCUGGUGGACGGGUAAUAAAACGAGAUGAAUCUGGAAGCUGGAGAAGACUGUGGCCUCAGAGAAAAAAUAUUUCCAUCACAGCAACAAUAUAAGCGAAAGACUGGUGAUAGCAGAGCAGGGGAGAGAGACGUGGGUCUGGGCAGGUCAUCCCUUCCCAGGGGCUGCGAACAAGAGCCGUCUGGAAAACAGUGGAAAUGGGCACGGGCAGCCAGACGUGGAGAUGUGGGCUGCCCUUUGGGAGGAAGAUAGUGCUUAUGUGGGAGAAAGAGUGGGAAGGAGUGAGAGUUAGACAGAGAGUUUCUGAGAUGGAUGCUGGGUUGGGGGUGACGAAUGGUACCAAGGGGGAGGCAGCUAAUGAGAAAGGCGCUUUGGAAACAGAAAGCCAUGGAGGCCGAAGAGGGAUGAUGGAGGAUGAGGGAAUGUUUGGGCUGGAAGUUGGGCUAGAGGGGGCUGACUUUUCUAGACGAGGGCGUGGAGAGGGAGUGCAGGAUGUCUCAAGAGGGAGGCUUGAGGGGCUGAGGGAAAGACCCCAAAAUGGGCCAUGCAGUGUGUGAGUGUUUGUGUGUCUCAAGGAGAGUGGGCGUGAGAAGAGUGAUAAAGAAAAACAUUUUCUUUUCUUUUCUUUUUCUUUUUUUCUUUUUUGGCCACCCUGCAGUGCAGGGAGUUCCCAGACUAGGGAUCAGAUCUCAGCCACGGCUGCUGCAACACCAGAUCCUUUAACCCAGUGUACCAGGCAGGGGAUCGAACCUUCGUCCUGGUGCUGCAGAGAUGCUGCCAAUCCUGUUGUGCCAUGGUGGGAAUGCCGAGACUAUUUUCUUUAUAUGAGAAACCACUGUCUGAAUGGUCUGUUCCUAAGUCUGGGGCAGGAAUCUGAAGUGCCAGUCCCGACACUGGCAGAGAGAUAAACACUCCACAAACAGGGCUUGCCAGUGCCAUAGAGCGGGUCAGAUAGUGAAGGGGUACCUAGCUGCUCCAGCAGCUGCUGGUAGGUUAGGGCAGUGGUUCUCUAAGCACUGGGUGCUCAGGAAUCCCUGGGUAGGGGUAGGGGGGUCGACUUGUUCCGACAAAGAUUCUGAGUCAGCAGGUUUGGGGUGGGGCCCAGGAACAUGCAUUUUGAACAAGACCCCCCUCCCCAAGCGAUGUUGAUGCUGCCAGUUGGGGACCCCACUUUGAGAACCACUUGAUGAGGGAAACUGGUUCAUGCCUUUUAGAGACUGAUCCAAACCCUCUUAAGUUUCUUUUGGGCGAUAUAUGACUGUGAUGAAAAGGAAGAAAAUGAACGUCCCUUUUUAACUCUGGAGGAACAGGCAAAUGUAAAACAUUUGAAAUGUGUAAUGGAAACAUUUCAAAGUGCUAUUGAUUCUUAUCAGUGUAAUAAAGAAAGAAGCAUGUGGGAGUUCACUUUGUGGCUCAGCAGUAAACAAACUCGACUAGGAUCCAGGAGGACAUGGGUUUGAUCCCUGGCCUGGCUCAGUGGGUUAAGGAUCUGGCAGUGCCGUGAGCUGUGUUUUAGAUCAAAGACACGGCUCGGAUCUGGCUUUUCUGUGGCUGUGAUGUAGGCUGGCGGCUGUAGCUCCGAUUUGACCCCUAGCCUGGGAACUUGCAUAUGCUGAGAGUAUGGCCCUAAAAAGC